rnacentral:rRNA from 1 species
GGGGAAUCUUGCGCAAUGGGCGAAAGCCUGACGCAGCGACGCCGCGUGCGGGAUGAAGGCCUUCGGGUUGUAAACCUCUUUCAGCAGGGAAGAAGCUCUUGAGUGACGGUACCUGCAGAAGAAGCGCCGGCUAACUACGUGCCAGCAGCCGCGGUAAUACGUAGGGCGCGAGCGUUGUCCGGAAUUAUUGGGCGUAAAGAGCUCGUAGGCGGCUUGUCGCGUCGACCGUGAAAACUUGGGGCUCAACCCCAAGCCUGCGGUCGAUACGGGCAGGCUAGAGUUCGGUAGGGGAGACUGGAAUUCCUGGUGUAGCGGUGAAAUGCGCAGAUAUCAGGAGGAACACCGGUGGCGAAGGCGGGUCUCUGGGCCGAUACUGACGCUGAGGAGCGAAAGCGUGGGGAGCGAA